UUUAGUUCCAGCCCACUGCCUGCGUUGGAAGUCCGAGAGGAAACGAACACAGGGAGUUCUCCGGGAGGCUGACUUACACUUCCUCACGGAUGCGGGAGACUUGGGUUUUCCAAGCUAAAGGUGACAUUUCAUCGUCUCCCAACAUUGUACCUGAUGAUUUGGUGUUUGCAAAGCUGAGCACCGAAUUUCAUGUGUGUGCACUACAAAUUGGAUCUGCAGGUCCAGCCACGUCAGACCCCAUCAGCCACUCUUGUUCUCUGGACUUGCCUAAACCAUUCCAGGAAUUACCGGAUACCUGAUUGCAUGCAGCUGUGGAAUACUGUCUUCAUCCUCUUUUCAUGGAAAUCCUGUGAGUCCUUCAAAACCCAGCAAGCAAGGCCACUCAUCUUCCCUCACUCCCCUGGCGGAAGCAGAGCUCCCUCUUUAGAAGACUUGGUCAUUUGCACAAACCUCCAUUCCAGGACGUGUAAUGGAAUGACAUGUGGUUGUCUGUCUUCUCCCACUGGGCUCUGAACCCUCAUCAUGAUUAACAGGCACAGUUUCUUCAUCGUUGUCAAUGGUACACUGUUUGCACUGGAUCAGCAUCUGGUGACUGAGUUGCAGGCUGUUAAAAGUAAUGCUGUAGAAGAAUUUAGGACACGGAUUCUGUGGCAUCCAGUUGGAAAUGU
rnacentral:lncRNA from 1 species